GACUGGUUGGCCGAGUGGUUAAGGCGCCUCCCUGCUAAGGAGGUUCCCUUUGGGAGCACAGGUUCAAAUCCUGUACCAGUCG